AUUGAACGCUGGCGGAAUGCUUUACACAUGCAAGUCGAGCGGCAGCGCGGCCUUCGGGCUGGCGGCGAGCGGCGAACGGGUGAGUAAUGCAUCGGAACAUGCCCAGUCGUGGGUGAUAACACUUCGAAAGAAGUGCUAAUACCGCAUACGUCCUGAGGGGGAAAGCGGGGGAUCGCAAGACCUCGCGCGAUUGGAGUGGCCGAUGUCAGAUUAGCUAGUUGGUGGGGUAAAGGCCUACCAAGGCGACGAUCUGUAGCUGGUCUGAGAGGAUGAUCAGCCACACUGGGACUGAGACACGGCCCAGACUCCUACGGGAGGCAGCAGUGGGGAAUUUUGGUCAAUGGGGGCAAGCCUGAUCCAGCCAUUCCGCGUGAGUGAAGAAGGCCUUCGGGUUGUAAAGCUCUUUCGGCAGGAACGAAAAGGUGGGCUCUAACAUAGUCCGCUAAUGACGGUACCUGAAGAAGAAGCACCGGCUAACUACGUG
rnacentral:rRNA from 1 species